AUUGAACGCUGGCGGAAUGCUUUACACAUGCAAGUCGAACGGCAGCACGGACUUCGGUCUGGUGGCGAGUGGCGAACGGGUGAGUAAUGUAUCGGAACGUGCCCAGUCGUGGGGGAUAACGUAGUGAAAAUUAUGCUAAUACCGCAUACGAUCCAGGGAUGAAAGCGGGGGAUCGCAAGACCUCGCGCGAUUGGAGCGGCCGAUAUCAGAUUAGGUAGUUGGUGGGGUAAAGGCCCACCAAGCCAACGAUCUGUAGCUGGUCUGAGAGGACGACCAGCCACACUGGAACUGAGACACGGUCCAGACUCCUACGGGAGGCAGCAGUGGGGAAUUUUGGACAAUGGGCGAAAGCCUGAUCCAGCCAUUCCGCGUGCAGGAUGAAGGCCCUCGGGUUGUAAACUGCUUUUGUACAGAACGAAAAGGUUUCUACUAAUACUAGGAGCUCAUGACGGUACUGUAAGAAUAAGCACCGGCUAACUACGUGCCAGCAGCCGCCGCAG
rnacentral:rRNA from 1 species